rnacentral:SRP_RNA from 1 species
GUAAGGAGCAGUGGCACAUGCCUGUAGUCCCAGCUACUCGGGAGGCCAAGGUGGGAGGAUCACUUGAGCCCAGGAGUUCUGGGCUGUAGUGCGCUAUGCCGAUUGGGUGUCCGCACUAAGUUCGGCAUCAAUAUGGUGACCUCCCGGGAGCGAGGGACCACCAGGUUGCCUAAGGAGGGGUGAACCAGCCCAGGUCGGAAACGGAGCAGGUCAAAACUCCCGUGCUGAUCAGUAGUGGGAUUGUGCCUGUGAAUAGCCGCUGCACUCCAGCCUGGGCAACAUAGCGAGACCCCAUCUCA